AGGAGUGUUAAUAUGGAAAAAUUUCUGAUUUUUGGGUUGCAAAAUAAAAAGAGAAAAGAGAAAACAAAGCUAUGGUCAAUUCCCCCCAUUAAUGGUGUCUUCUUCCUCACUCCACCAUGUCCAUUUGUCACUCAUGCAAUCACAACUUUCUUCUCCUUCUUCAGACAAAUCUGUCACCAAUCCUCACCCAAAGCUUCUUCAAGUUGACAAAUUCAGAUUAUUUACUUCACCAUCUUCCUCCCAACCACUGAUUUUAAAACCUCCAAACUCCACUAUAAAUAGCCAUGGAGAUUCAACAUCAAGAACCCACCAACAAUAACAUUCAUCCUCUCUUCUCUCUCUAAUAAGAAAUUCAGUCAAUAAUUGCCGGAAAAAUUGCAACUAAAGGAAACCCAAAAUAAAAACCCAAACUUUCCCUCUCUCUCCCCUGUUCGGCUCUUUUCCCCCACGACACCCCCCCUCGGCCACCUCAGGCGACGCCAGACCUGCGCCGGCCAUCCGUCGCACCUCCUCUUGGCCUCGCUGUCGUUCGUCGACCACCGCGCAGCUCGCCGGAGACUCGCGCCAGCACCCUCACGUUCUCUCUCUCUCUCCUCGCGCGGUCUCUCACGCCCUUUUUCUUCUUCGCGCGACGUUGCUGCACGCGCAGCACUGCGGACGACCCGCGUGCGCUGAACCGCCGGACCGUCGCCGGAUAUCGUCGUUGCUGCUCGCCGGCGUCCCUCCCUCCGGCGUGAUUUCGUCCUCCCUGCUCCUAGUAGCAGAGAUUAAAGAAGAUAAAGUAUAUUACAAGCCUCCCCCGGCUAUCAUGGUUGGUAAGCAGGAAUUCAGGUAUGGAAGAACAGUUGUGGAUCACUGAUAGACUGCAUUAUGGAGAUUAUGUAUGAUUCUAUGAGGUUUUAGGAUAUUUUGUAUGAUGGAUAAACAAGUAUUAUUAUACGAUGAGUAUUUGUAUAGUGAAUUUUCAAUUUUAGGCUAUUACUUUAUUUGUUUGUCAUAACCGACAGGAUUAGGUUAUGCUUCCGCUGACGAUUAAGGUCAUGUAAAUUUGUCGGGGCGUUACAGAGUGGUAUCAGAGCCGAAACCUAGCCGGAAGUGCGGAGUGAUAGACUUUGCACCGCCUAGGAGUGGUCCUUUGGGAAAUUAGAUAUUGAGGAAAACUCGAGGUUAGUAAAUGACCAUUUGGGUUGAUAUAAGAUGAGAUAUAAGACAAUGGAUGAAAAAUAUGAGGUUUACUUCCAUGAAUGAGUUAUUAGGAGUUGAGGAUUAUUUGGGUUAUUAGAAUCUUAAAGAAGUGAGGAUUUGAACUUAUGAUCUUUUGACGUAUCAUUUGAAGAUUAGUA